GUAACUGUCUGUUUCUCUUUAUUCAGGACAGGGGAAGACUGAGAGAGCAAGUUAAAGGCUGGUUGCAGAUGACUCUAAGGGAACAGAUCCUCUACUGGGAGCUGUUAUUGGAGUCAUGCAGACGAGAUCCCUCAAGGAGCAGGUUGCCACAGUUUUUGAAGAUCUCAUCAAGUUUCUUCUUUGUACGACGUUUCUAUUUCAAGCUGAACAGAGUCCUUAGAAAACAACAUGGUGCCAAGCUGUGUAAUUAAGAUUUGCACUUGCCACUGAACCACCAAAGCAACCGGUGGGAUCCCGGGAGUUUGGCUUCAGCGUACAGAGGAUUCCCCCCAGAGAUGCUGGAGCAGCAGCAUGGGAUGGUCAGGCUGGUCCUGUGUUGAGCUGUCAUCCUGGAUACUUGAUUUAAUCAGUGAUUCCUAAGGAUAGUGACCUGCCACUAGAUGAGAAGAGACUGAGAUUAUCGUAGUUGACACAGGAAAAGAAUUGGAUCUAUGUCCCGCUUGAAAGAAGAAUUUAUCAGAUUGCCUCUGAAUAUGCAUUAGAAGACCAGCAGAGUUCAGCCCUUUCUGGAGAUGCCUUUCCAGCUCGCUGCAGGAACAAGAGCCCUGGUGUAAUUCCAGGAAGGAAGCAGAACCCAUGGAGUCAGCACGGCAGGGACGUGCCUUGCUGUUCACCAUACAUUCAAGCAGGGGCAGGGGAGAGUCCCUCUCAGCCAGAGUGUCCUGCGGCCUUCAGACAACUGAAAUAUCAGUUAUAGAACAG